AGAGUAUAAAUGAAAAUAGUAAAUAGAAAAGGGUAGAAUUGAAAAGGGGUACUGUAAAAAAGACAUUUCAAAGAAUUUUUCCUAAACUAAACU
rnacentral:sRNA from 1 species